GUAGCAGGUGUACUCGCGCUGCCCUCCGAAGGCAGAGGCCACUGGUUCGAAUCCAGUCGGGUGCACCA
rnacentral:tRNA from 1 species